rnacentral:RNase_P_RNA from 16 species
AGAGUCAGCGAAGGCAAUUGCGGACUCAAUACCUGAGUCUGAGGAAAGUCCGGACUCCCAAAAGACUAAACCUGCUGGAUAACGCCCAGUGCGAGUGAUCGUGAGGAUAGUGCCACAGAAAAAUACCGCCAAGAAUAGGGAACAGGGGACAGGUUACAGGUUACAGGGAAGACCCCUGAGAGCUGAUCACCUAGAACUAAUCAUCUGUUGUUGGUAAGGGUGCAAAGGUGCGGUAAGAGCGCACCAGCAACGUCGAGAGGCGUUGGCUCGGUAAACCCCAGGUGGGAGCAAGGUCGGAGGAACUAAGGUUGGUCUUUUCCCCGUUCCGGUUUAAGAGGUACCGCUUGAGGUGUUUGGUAACAAACAUCCCAGAUAGAUAAUUGCCCUCUUGACUGUAUACAGUUGAGAAAACAGAAUCCGGCUUAUGUCUGGCUCUCUCU